GGCCCCAUCGUCUAGCCCGGUCUAGGACACGUCCUUCUCACGGACGGGACAGGGGUUCAAAUCCCCUUGGGGUCA
rnacentral:tRNA from 3 species